GUGCCAUGCCCUGGGUGGUGGUCCUCUAUUAGUUCACACAAGAGCUGGUUGUUUAAAAAAGCCUGGGACCUCCUCUCUCUCUCUCUCUUGCUCCUCUUCUUGCCAUGUGACACCUCCCCUUUCACCUUCUGCCAUGAGUAGCAGCUUCCUGGGGCCUUACCAGAAAUCAAGCAGAUGCUGGCACUGUGCUUGUAGAGCCUGCAGAACUGAAGCUGAACUGACAUGAAGCAAAAGAAGUCUGUUGUUUUGGACUGCGUUCCACACUUGGCUGUCCCAGAGGUUGAUCUCACCACCAUUCAGAGAUCCAAGAGGAAGCCACCUGUUAGACUAAAGAAAACUCACCUGUGA
rnacentral:lncRNA from 13 species